UACGUAGGGUGCGAGCGUUGUCCGGAAUUAUUGGGCGUAAAGAGCUCGUAGGCGGUGUGUCGCGUCGGCCGUGAAAACCUGCAGCUUAACUGUGGGCUUGCGGUCGAUACGGGCAUCACUGGAGUUCGGCAGGGGAGACUGGAAUUCCUGGUGUAGCGGUGAAAUGCGCAGAUAUCAGGAGGAACACCGGUGGCGAAGGCGGGUCUCUGGGCCGAAACUGACGCUGAGGAGCGAAAGCGUGGGGAGCAAACAGG
rnacentral:rRNA from 1 species